GGGUUAAUAACUUAAUUGGUAAAGGAUUUCCUUGUCGAGGAAAUAGAUGUCGGAUCGUAGCCGACUUAACCCG